rnacentral:rRNA from 1 species
UACGUAGGGGGCAAGCGUUGUCCGGAUUUACUGGGCGUAAAGGGCGCGUAGGCGGUCAGCACAAGUCAGUUGUGAAAUCUCCGGGCUUAACUCGGAAAGGUCAACUGAUACUGUGCGACUAGAGUGCAGAAGGGGCAACUGGAAUUCUCGGUGUAGCGGUGAAAUGCGUAGAUAUCGAGAGGAACACCUGCGGCGAAAGCGACUCUCUGGACGGCAACUGACGCUGAGGCACGAAAGCGUGGGGAGCAAACAGG